CAGCAAUGCCGCGUGAGUGAUGAAGGCCUUAGGGUUGUAAAGCUCUUUUACCCGGGAUGAUAAUGACAGUACCGGGAGAAUAAGCUCCGGCUAACUCCGUGCCAGCAGCCGCGGUAAUACGGAGGGAGCUAGCGUUGUUCGGAAUUACUGGGCGUAAAGCGCGCGUAGGCGGCUUUGUAAGUUAGAGGUGAAAGCCCGGGGCUCAACCCCGGAACUGCCUUUAAGACUGCAUCGCUUGAAUCCGGGAGAGGUGAGUGGAAUUCCGAGUGUAGAGGUGAAAUUCGUAGAUAUUCGGAAGAACACCAGUGGCGAA
rnacentral:rRNA from 1 species